CACAGGGAUAGGGCUGGCACGGUUCAGGCCCUCGGGUUCGUUUGUAUCGGAUGUGAGCAGACAGCCGGCCUUGGGGCUCUUAUCUACCAAUCUUUACAACUUGCAGUAGGAGUGCUGGUACGAAGCUGCACGGUGUUGCCUGAGGGGAUUGUGACCGCCGAACUGUGGUGGUUGCUUCGCACAACUUGCAAUUUUGGUCAUCGUCUAAUAAGCGACUUUAUAAGUCGAGAACUGAAAUCCUCAAGACGGCUGUUUUAACAUCAACUGGACACAACUCCAGCAGCCUGACUGAUGAAGCAGUCAGUUACCACCUCUCAACUCCACAAAGCCUCCUUGAUUUUAAAAGUCUCUGAUCAAUGGCUACCAAGUGGCCUAAGCACAGAAAGCCGUGUUGCAGCUUCGUUCAUUUCAAGGAUUUUCAUAUUGUUUUCUCUAAUCAGAAACUUAUUGGAACUGAACCCCAUAAAAGAAACACUCUCUGGAUUUUGACUUAUCGGACUCAGACAAUCACAUGAACCAAUAUUACUUUUUAGGUUCUUGUACUGUAAAAACUCCUUUUUUCUAUCUCGCCUGUAACUGUUUAUGUGCAUGUGUAUCUGAGUGGGAAAUUGCAGACAAUCCUCCCCUGAGUUUUUUUGCAUGUGAAAUAAACUAACUUUCUGAGUUAA